rnacentral:lncRNA from 1 species
UUUUUUUUUUUUUUUUUUUUAUUCUUAAUUUUUUCUAUUUAAAUGUAUUGGCAUUAUUGCCCUUACCCUUCAACGAUAGAAUAAUUAUGAUUUUUGAUCACGAUGUGACAUCUUAACAUAAUUAUUUAUAGGUUAAGUCUUUGUAUAUAAUUUUCUUCAAUAAGUCCCACGGAAACGCGUCACGGUUCUUUCCGUCAUCUCGUUCAGUGGGACGAGGACAACGUAAGAACCAAUAUAAUUAAAUUUUAAAUUAGUGAUGACGAGAAUGAAAAAUAUCUCGUUUUCAAAUAGUUUUUUUUUAUUUUAUGUUUAAGUUUGAUGUAUAAAAUAGUAGUACCUAUUUUUAAGUAUACAUAAGUUAUUUUAGGUUGAAAUUAACAAAUUACGAAUCGUCUGAAUUAGAUCGUGCUCUUUGUUAUAAUAGUGAUGUAUAGGAUAAGUUUUUUUUUUUUUGGCUAUUUAUGAUUAAAAAAAAAAAAAAAUAAUCUCAUGGAUUUUGUAAUUAUUAAUUCUUAGCGGUUAAGUAUUAAAAAUAAGAAAAUUACGGUUUAACACGUAAAAAGAAAACACAUGGAUAAAUAUUAGAUAUCCACGAAAUCGCUAACUGGUUCGCUACGUCUUACUAUCGUUUCGUGGAUGUAAGUUUAGGCUAAGUCUACUUUAAGUUUGAUUUUGAUUUUUUUUUCCAAAUUAUUUCUAUUUAAAUGUAUUGGCAUUAUUGCCCUUACCCUUCUUUAAUUAAAUAAUUAUGAUUUUUGAUUACGGUAUGACAUCGUUAAACUGGCUAUUCGUUAUAAAUUCAUAAUUAUUUAUAAGUUAAGUCUUUGUAUAUAAUUUUCUUCACCACCUAUUAAGUUCCGCGGAACGCGUCACGGUUCGUUCCGUCGUCUCGUUCAGUGGAAUAUUAAAAAUAUAGGCCAAAUAUGAGUUUCAUAGUGUUGAUCGUGUACUGGCGAAGAAAACGCAAAGUUGAUCAACUGAUAAGUUCUGUUAGUUAACAAAUAAGGAAUCAUCUGAAACACCUUGUUUAUAGAAAUAUCUAUUAUUUUAAUAAUUGUCAAGGGUUUGAUGUUAAGAAUUUAGAAACCCACUAAACCGCGUCCCGAUUUGCAUCGGCAACUUUAGUGGGUGUAAGUUUAAACUAAGUUAGGCUAAGUUAAGACUAAGGUUAUGAUUUUUAUUUAUUUUUUUUCGACUGUAUAGACAAACUAGCCAUUGCUUUCGCCGUAAUUAUAUUCAAAUUAAAUAAUUAUAUUUUCCAAUCCCGAUUGUUAUUAAAAUAUAAUUUUUAGGUCAAUUUUCUGUUAAUAAUAAUUUUCAAUAAUAAAUUCUCCGAUUAGGUAAAGAUAACUUUGUCAAUAAUUCCAUAAGUUAAUUUAUUAAUAAAUCUAAAUUAACCUAAACUAAUUUAAAACUAUGUUUGAUUUCUUUUUAUAGAUUAUUAUAUAUUAGGCUUAUUGAUAUUAAUGUUAAUUUUUUUUUUGAAAAAGUCAAAUCAGAUAAUUAUUGAUUUUGAUCAAUACGUGACUUCAAAUAGUUAUUCGUUAUCAAAACAUAAUUCGUACGUUUUGUAAAUAAUAAAUCAUUCUAUUAAGGUUAAGUUUAUAGAUUUUAAAUUCUAGAAAUAUUUAUUUUAAAGUAGGCAAAUUAAAUACAUUUUAGGAUGGGCGAAGUAAAAUUUAUCUUUUUUUUUCGAGGGUGUACUUUCGCAAAAGUCCACGUUUUACAUUUGCAUGAAAUAAUGCUGCAGAUGUACGUCUCUAGUAGGGUUAUUUUUUCUGAUGCAACUAAUUUGAUUAUAUUAUAAAAUAUAGGCAUUUUUUAAAAAAUAAUUUGAAUAGACAAAAAAAAAAAAAAAUGAAAAAAAAAACGUAGAAUAAAAAUUUAGCAAUAGUUGUAUAGUUAUUAUUAUUAUAAUUUAUUUUUUUUUUUUUAAAAUUAAGAAAAAAAAAUAAUAGUAAAAUUGUAAAUCCACAAAAAUAACACAAACGAUUUUAAUUUGUUCAUUGUGUUUUUGAAAUAUCUGUAAAAUUAGUGUAAUGACCGUCAAAAAUAUUCAUUGUAAAAGCUCUAUGGAAAAGCUUAUUUUAUUUAUUUUACCAUUACCUACCUAAUAUUUUUUAUUAUUGUAUCUAAAGAAAAAUAUUAUAUAUUAUUGUAAACGAAAUUUAUUCCCGUCACCUUUGGCGACUGCAAAUCACAAAAUUACACGACUCAAAGGACCUGUAUACCGUGGAAUCAUUAUCAUAUUGUAAUAUCGUAUAGUGUAUAAUAAUUAAACUCUACAUAAGGUUUAUUUGACCAUACUUGGACCGUGUACUUGUUUUUAUUCGUUCGUCCGCCUAUACCAAAUAUCCUUUACACCGCU